GCCAGGCGCGGUGGUGUGUACCGGUAGUCCCAGCUACUCGGGAGGCUGAGGCUGGAGGAUCACUUGAGUCCAGGAGUUCUGGGCUGUAGUGCGCUAUGCCAAUCAGGGGUCUGCAUUAAGUUCGGCAUCAAUAUGGUGACCUCCCGGGAGUGGGGGACCACCAGGUUGCCUAAGGAGGGGUGAACCAGCCCAGGUCGGAAACGGAUCAGGUCAAAAUUCCCCUGCUGAUCAGUAGUGAGAUCCCGCCUGUGACUAGCCACUGCACUCCAGCCUGGGCAACAUAGUGAGACCCCGUCUCU
rnacentral:SRP_RNA from 1 species